AAGACGACGAGGAGGCCGAUCACGUUGGCACCCAGUCCUGCCUUCACCUGGAAGCACGGGCCAUCAUGGAGGUCAAGUGUCCGUAGGCGAAAACCACGGCGUUGGGAGGAUUGGACGCCGGCAGCAGGAAGGAGAAGGACGUGCACAACGUGGCCGGGAUCAAUACCGACAAGGGGUUGACGCGAAUGCCUUCGGCCUGCACGGCGCGGACAGGAGAAGACACAUGAAAAGAGGCGAGAGGAUGGGCAGGAAGAUGGUGAUGGUGGUGGCGUUGCUGGCCAGCUCGGUUACCAUGGUGACGAUGAUGCAAGCUACAGCCACAGUGGCCAGUGG